CUCCCAUUGUUUGCAAGGGGCUCGAAGCUCCAUUGCCCUCUCUCAAAAUGGCCGCGACCUUCUCCUUUGGGGGCGGGGCGGAAGGAACUGCAGAGAUGAUGGACAGCUCCCUUCCCGGGGGCGCCCCAGCUCCUGGAGUCAUGUGGAUCUCUGAUGAUUUCAGACUUCAUUCUUAAAGAACAAAUGCUUGAGAAAGCUAAUGAAUACCAUUGGGACAAAACAGACACUAGGAGAAACACCCCCAAAGGAGGAUGAUUCUCGUUUGCUACCAUGAUCUCUCAGGUAGCCAAUUUUUAAUCCAUUUAAUAUGGGCACAUGGAUUUUGUAUAGUGCUAGUUUUUUUAACAGAAUGUUAUGUGGGACUCAGACAAAAGCCAUGCAGAGGUCAUCGCUACAUUGUCAUCAGUUAUCUUUAUCAACCAAACCUGUAAUCUCAUCACAAAGUGAUGUAAAAUGUGUGUGACAAGACCUGUGUUCCAUAAAACCACGUUGAUUGCCAUUA